rnacentral:rRNA from 1 species
CCAAUAGCGUAUAUUAAAGUUGUUGCAGUUAAAAAGCUCGUAGUUGAAUUUCGAGACCGGUUUACUGGUCGUGCUUUUGUACGUACUGGUAUUAUUGGUUUCUCCUUUCUGACGAAUCAUAAUGCCAUUAAUUUGGUGUUUUGGGGAAUCAGGACUGUUACUUUGAAAAAAUUAGAGUGUUUAAAGCAGGCUCACGCUUGAAUACAUUAGCAUGGAAUAACGAAAUAGGACGUUUGAUUUUAUUUUGUUGGUUUCUAGGAUCGACGUAAUGAUUAAUAGGGAUAGUUGGGGGCAUUAGUAUUCAAUUGUCAGAGGUGAAAUUCUUGGAUUUAUUGAAGACUAACUACUGCGAAAGCAUUUGCCAAGGAUGUUUUCAUUAAUCAAGAACGAAAGUUAGGGGAUCGAAGACGAUCAGAUACCGUCGUAGUCUUAACCAUAAACUAUGCCGACUAGGGAUCGGAUGAUGUUAAUUUUUUAAUGACUCAUUCGGCGCCUUGCG